GGGGCCCGCACAAGCGGAGGAGCAUGUGGUUUAAUUCGAUGAUACGCGAGGAACCUUACCUGGGCUCGAACGUAAGAUGACUGUAGGUGAAAGCUUACAUCUCUUCGGAGCAUUUUACGAGGUGCUGCAUGGUUGUCGUCAGCUCGUGCCGUGAGGUGUCGGGUUAAGUCCCAUAACGAGCGCAACCCCUACCUUUAGUUGCCAUCAGGUUAAGCUGGGGACUCUAAAGGAACUGCCUACGCAAGUAGUGAGGAAGGCGGGGAUGACGUCAAAUCAGCACGGCCCUUACGUCCAGGGCUACACACGUGCUACAAUGGCCGAUACAGAGGGCAGCUACCUGGUGACAGGAUGCAAAUCUCCAAAGUCGGUCUCAGUUCGGAUCGGAGUCUGCAACCCGACUCCGUGAAGUUGGAUUCGCUAGUAAUCGCGCAUCAGCCAUGGCGCGGUGAAUACGUUCCCGGGCCUU
rnacentral:rRNA from 1 species